rnacentral:rRNA from 1 species
GAUGAACGCUAGCGGGAGGCUUAAUACAUGCAAGUCGGAGGGGUAUAUAUCUUUCGGGAUAUAGAGACCGGCGGAACGGGUGCGUAACGCGUAUGCAACCUACCUAUUUACUGGGAGGAUAGCCCGGAGAAAUCCGGAUUAAUACUUCAUAAUACUAUUUGAUCGCAUGGUUAGAUAUUUAAAGAUUUAUUGGUAAAUGAUGGGCAUGCGUCUGAUUAGCUAGUUGGUGAGGUAAUAGCUCACCAAGGCAACGAUCAGUAGCGGGUCUGAGAGGAUGAUCCGCCACACUGGGACUGAGACACGGCCCAG